CCUACGGGAGGCUGCAGUGGGGGAUAUUGCACAAUGGGGGAAACCCUGAUGCAGCGACGCCGCGUGGGCGAAGAAGUAUUUCGGUAUGUAAAGCCCUAUCAGCAGGGAAGAAGAAAUGACGGUACCUGAGUAAGAAGCACCGGCUAAAUACGUGCCAGCAGCCGCGGUAAUACGUAUGGUGCAAGCGUUAUCCGGAUUUACUGGGUGUAAAGGGAGCGCAGGCGGCACGGCAAGCCUGAUGUGAAAGCCCGCGGCCCAACCGCGGGACUGCAUUGGGAACUACCGGGCUGGAGUGCCGGAGAGGUAGGCGGAAUUCCUAGUGUAGCGGUGAAAUGCGUAGAUAUUAGGAGGAACACCAGUGGCGAAGGCAGCCUACUGGACGGUGACUGACGCUGAGGCUCGAAAGCGUGGGGAGCAAACAGGAUUAGAUACCCCGGUAGUC
rnacentral:rRNA from 1 species